rnacentral:rRNA from 1 species
CCUACGGGGUGCAGCAGUGAGGAAUAUUGGUCAAUGGACGAGAGUCUGAACCAGCCAAGUAGCGUGAAGGAUGACUGCCCUAUGGGUUGUAAACUUCUUUUAUAUGGGAAUAAAAUGUUCCACGUGUGGGAUUUUGUAUGUACCAUAUGAAUAAGGAUCGGCUAACUCCGUGCCAGCAGCCGCGGUAAUACGGAGGAUCCGAGCGUUAUCCGGAUUUAUUGGGUGUAAAGGGAGCGUAGGUGGAUUGUUAAGUCAGUUGUGAAAGUUUGCGGCUCAACCGUAAAAUUGCAGUUGAAACUGGCAGUCUUGAGUACAGUAGAGGUGGGGGGAAUGCGUGGUGUAGCGGUGAAAUGCUUAGAUAUCACGAAGAACUCCGAUUGCGAAGGCAGUUCACUGGACUGCAACUGACACUGAGGCUCGAAAGUGUGGGUAUCAAACAGGAGUAGAUACCCCAGUAGUC